rnacentral:rRNA from 1 species
GGCUUAGAGUUUGAUCAUGGCUCAGGACGAACGCUGGCGGCGUGCCUAACACAUGCAAGUCGAACGGAGUAAUUUGGCGGAAGUUUUCGGAUGGAAGCUGAUUUACUUAGUGGCGGACGGGUGAGUAACACGUGAGUAACCUGCCUCUCAGAGGGGGAUAACGUCUUGAAAAGGACGCUAAUACCGCACGACAUCUCGUGACCGCAUGGUUGUGAGAUCAAAGGAGCAAUCCGCUGAGAGAUGGACUCGCGUCCGAUUAGCCAGUUGGCGGGGUAACGGCCCACCAAAGCAACGAUCGGUAGCCGGACUGAGAGGUUGAACGGCCACAUUGGGACUGAGACACGGCCCAGACUCCUACGGGAGGCAGCAGUGGGGGAUAUUGCACAAUGGGGGAAACCCUGAUGCAGCAACGCCGCGUGAAGGAUGAAGGUCUUCGGAUUGUAAACUUUUGUCCUAUGGGAAGAAGAAAGUGACGGUACCAUAGGAGGAAGCUCCGGCUAACUACGUGCCAGCAGCCGCGGUAAUACGUAGGGAGCAAGCGUUGUCCGGAUUUACUGGGUGUAAAGGGUGCGUAGGCGGAAGAGCAAGUCAGUAGUGAAAUCUGGGGGCUUAACCCCCAAACUGCUAUUGAAACUGUUCUUCUUGAGUGGAGUAGAGGUAGGCG